rnacentral:tRNA from 1 species
GUUUAAGUAGUUUAUUAAAAUUGUGAUUUGUGGUAUCAUAGAUAUAAAUAUCUAAUUUAUCUUAAACC